AUUGGCUAUGGAGACAUGGUGCCGAAGACGUACUUGGGUCAGAUGAUAGGCUCCGUAUGUGCUCUGGCGGGUGUCCUGACCAUCGCACUGCCAGUUCCUGUCAUUGUGAGCAAU
rfam:Steinernema glaseri strain NC unplaced genomic scaffold GLAS_6236, whole genome shotgun sequence.